rnacentral:lncRNA from 1 species
CCUGGGAGGGGAUGCGAUAGCUGAGCAGGCCACGGCUGGAGCUGGCCAGAGGAAAGGGAGAUUGCGUGAAGAUGGGAAGACACCGGGGCCAGGAAAAGCCAUCCUUCAUGAGCUUGACAGCCCUGGGAGCCGACAGAGGGACUUACUGAACGGGACUAAAGUAUGUUGAGGUCAGCUACACUACACACUUCUACCAUGAUGCAUUGCUUCACCACAGGUUCCCAAACAACCAGAAUGAACAUUGUCACCUUUUAGAGUUCAAGUUGGGUAUGCAGAGACCAGGAAGACUUUGGGAGACACCAUCCCACCUGAGGAUAACAGUGAACCAGGAAAGAAUCAACUGUGCUUUAAAUGAGUCACUGAGCCAACAAUCAACAGAGCACUGCGUAAAUCCUCACCUAGAUGAGAAGACAGUGGCCUUCUUUCUGGUUGAAGGUUAAAUCCAAGACAUGAUGAGUCUGCUCUGCAUUCCUGAGCUCCACCUCGGAUCCUAAAACAUGUUUGAGGAAAAUUCUCUUCCCAUCUCAUGGACAGGGGUAGAAUUUUAAAAAAGAACAUAAAUUAUCAUCCUAAA